AACAUCGCGCACCUGCGGGAACCUGCGGAGGGAUCAUUACAGAGUUGCAAAACUCCCUAAACCAUUGUGAACCUACCUUCUACCGUUGCUUCGGCGGGCGGGCCUAGCGCCCCCCGGCCCCCCGCGGGCGCCCGCCGGAGGAUAACCAAACUCCUGACAUCAGUGGCCUCUCUGAGUAUUCUUUACUGAAUAAGUCAAAACUUUCAGCAAUGGAUCU
rnacentral:misc_RNA from 1 species